AGAUUUCCCAUGGCUAUGUGGAAGAAAUUAAAUGGUUAUGUGAAAGGUCGCCUGCUGUCCCCUCCUGAGCAUCACUGGCGUGCCCAGCCUCCGCUCCUGCCUGCAGCCCGUGCCCGGCCCGCCAUCAAAAUGGGGCAAAGGAGAAAGAAGAACAAUAAGCAUAAAGGAAUAUAAAAAGAAAAGAGGAUUUGAAACGUUAAAUAGAAAACAGAGGCAUCUGUUGGAUUUUAGAGAUCCUUUCUCCAAAAAUCUACGCACGUCCCAGCACCGGCACGCUCUGCUCCAAGAUGAGCAUCUCCCAUAGCAGUUGUGAAGGAUGCUUCACUGAAGCAAGGGGAGAGAGGGAAACCUGCACUUGCUCGGCUUGGUUUUCAACACUGAAGACUUGGUCUCACUGAAAUAUCUUGAAUGAUUCUUAAAUCGCUCACUCACAAGUGCAGUGUUUCUCGAAUAAAAAUGAACUAGUAUCUGAGGGAAUAAACUAAGCCUGUUUUAAAACUUUAA